rnacentral:sRNA from 1 species
AUAUUAUGUACCUGAAAACAUAACAUGCAGUGUACGAUAAAUCUAGCUACAUCUACUUCUACAGAAUACGACAGCCUUCUUACCGCGACUAAGAGAGGAAGCGGAGGAAAUGGAAGCGGAAUCAAUGGAGGGGUGAAGCCUACCUUCCACCAGAAGCUGACAGGUGCUUGUUAUCUCCCCUUCUAUGUUGACGGCCUUACAGCUGUAGUGGCCCUCAUCCUCGGGGAAUACCUCGGUGAUGGUCAGUGUGCUCUUGUCUGCAAUGUUACUGAUCUGGAAGUCCUGAAACACCAACAACUCCUUGCAUAAAUUAUAUACUACAGGUAUCAAAUACAUUGUUUUCAAUAGGUGACAGCCAAUUUCAAUAAAUACAUUUGUGAGAUUUGACGUGGUACCUGACAAUCGAGGAUUUCCUCGCCCUCCUUGAACCAGGUGGUGCGUGGUCGGGGGUCCCCACUGAUGACACACUCCAGAGUCACCGUGGACCCGUCCUUACAGAACUGGUCCCGCAGUGGCUUCUCAAAUCUGGGCUUCCUGUUCACACUGUAAACAACAAAAUAAUUUCAGUUUAUCAUUCAAAAGAUCAUAUUUAGAAUAUUUUUGUAAUGUAUUAUUUGUUAAUCCUAAACAUGACAAAGAUCUUACCUGGAUGAAAGAGGAAGUUUUUCUUUGUCUGAAAACAAAAUAAAUAUUGGUUUG